rnacentral:rRNA from 1 species
AUUGAACGCUGGCGGCAUGCCUUACACAUGCAAGUCGAACGGUAACAGGGAGCUUGCUCCGCUGACGAGUGGCGAACGGGUGAGUAAUGUAUCGGAACGUACCAUUCAGUGGGGGAUAACGUAGCGAAAGUUACGCUAAUACCGCAUAUUCUGUGAGCAGGAAAGCAGGGGAUCGCAAGACCUUGCGCUGAUUGAGCGGCCGAUAUCAGAUUAGCUAGUUGGUGAGGUAAAGGCUCACCAAGGCGACGAUCUGUAGCGGGUCUGAGAGGAUGAUCCGCCACACUGGAACUGAGACACGGUCCAGACUCCUACGGGAGGCAGCAGUGGGGAAUUUUGGACAAUGGGGGCAACCCUGAUCCAGCCAUGCCGCGUGAGUGAAGAAGGCCUUCGGGUUGUAAAGCUCUUUCGGUCCGGGAAAAAGUACGACAUCAGUUAAUACCUGGUGUGGAUGAUGGUACCGGAAGUAAGAAGACACCGGCUAACUACGUACG